CUUACUAGUUGUUUCGAUAGUCAGGUUGCAGUUAAAUUGUUUGGAAAACAAAAAUGAAUAUUCAAAUACCUUUACUGAGUAUAUUCGUUUGUGUGUUUUUACCAAAGAGUUAUGAUGGAACACUGACUUACAACUAUUAUGAUGAGAUGGCGCAAUCGUACUGUGUGAGUCGCUCAUCAGGCUGGGUGUUUGCUCUUCGACGAGACUGUGCGAGACGAGCAGGUACUUGCAACAAAAUCUGUGCAAGUGCAAAGAGUAAAAUACUGGCUUCAAUCGACUACAAGGCAAAACAAGUCCGUUGCUUCGAUGGAUAUCAUGUUAUUAAAUAUAAUAACAGGCUCCGGGACAACCCAUCGAGUGCACAGCCUGAUUCGAACACAGUUAUCUUCAAGACCUACGGUUUCGGUAGUCGUGGAUGUACCUGGAAAGCUAACCAUUGUGGUCCAAACUACUGCUGUUGCAAGGCUUUCUGAAAGGUCUAAGAAAAAUUCAAUCUCAGUUACAGAUGAAAUAACCUAUCCUGUAUUGUGGCUUUUUAUAUCAAAUAUAAUAUAUAUUAAGGAUGUUCUCUUCUCUUGUUUUGAAAUUUUGUCAGAUAAUUGGAAUCCUUUUGAAUUAUCUAUUAAGGUGGUACCUAACACUACAGGGAGAUAACUCUUUAAAAAUCAGCUAAACGUUUUAAUUACGUUGUAUUGUUAAGAAAAUAUUAAGCUUCUACAUGAUCAAAAUUAGUGUUUGUCAAACUGCUAUAUAGCCAAUGAAAUUUUUCUGAUAAAGUGGUUGGUUCAAAUUUUUUGAAAUUUUUAUAUUUUUGUCAAAGGGUCAAAGUAAACAUUUUGUCAAAUUUUUAUGAAAAUUAAACGAGCCAAAUUAAUAUUAGUCAAGGUGUUGGGUACCACCUUAAGUGCAAAUAAAACUUUACCCGCUAACCCCUACUUUUAUUUUCAUGAUUUUAUCACAUACACAGUUUAAAAAGCCAUUUUUAAAAAUUUCAUUAAAUCCUUCAUAUUG